AGAACUGUAUUUGGACAUCAGU
rnacentral:miRNA from 1 species